ensembl:lncRNA
UAGAAAUUAGAUUCGAAAGAACAUGUCGAUCAAUCCGUCAAAACCGCUGGCUGCGUUUCUUCAUUCAAGUUUGUUUCAAUAGCGCCAUCUUCAGGAUGUCCACGGAGAAGCGGGACGAGAAUUACAAGCUAUUUCACCAUCCGACGUCCUGAUCUGAAAUUCAAAACACCCAGUGUGAACGAUACAACUGUGUCCCAAAACAUUACAUAUACGUUUGGAUCCAGUCAACCUAUAUUUGAUUCCUCGACAGCAGAUGUCACCAGAAGCCCCUCGUUUUGACGAGCAGGCCUCUUUUAUGGUGGAUAAGGGACUCCAGAGACACACAGUUGGUGCAGGGCCCGUCUAGAGACACAACGCUGUCAUGACAGUUGUCACUUCUCAUCAAGCCCAAGGAGAGAAAAGGGAACUGUCUCUGAUGGAGAGGACAGAUAGCAGGGUGGCAGCUGGAUGUAGCUAACACCCUGUUCUGGUCGGAAGGCCGCAAAGGCGUGACCGAGUCCCCUGUAGCGCAUCCAACUUCAUCUGCACACGCGGCUCCCCGCACUGACUCAGUUGCUAGUCAGAAACCCGUUCUGCGCGUGCAGCUCCACUUCAGCGGAGGUUCCUUGAGUCUGUCAUAUCCAAAAUGACCUCAAAC